rnacentral:lncRNA from 1 species
CAGCAUGGCUUGCACUGCACUGAGCAAGUCCCUUUUUGAAUAAUUAGGUUCUUACACCUUUUCAUCAUUAUCUAUGUGACUGUGAUGAACAUUCUUAUAGCAAAAUGUUUGUAUAUUAUUAUUGUUAUUUCAUGGUGUAGGAGCUCACUAUGGGCAAUCUGUGUGGGGAAAAUGGAGGCUGAGGCAGGUGGAUCGCUUGAGUCUAGGAGUUCGAGACCAGCCUAGACAACAUGGUGAAACCCUGUCUCUACAAAAAUUACACACAAAAAAAAAUUAGCUGGGCAUGGUGGCACAUACCUGU